GGCAUGUUGAGAUUGGGUUUCAUUAAUGAUUGCUCUUUAAUCAGUUUGUUUGUGCAUGCGUUUGUUUGUUCAAAUUGAUGUUCCAGGCAGGGUGCCAGGUGCCGGUGGACAGAAAGGCAAGAGACAGAGUUCCUGCCCUGGGGUGCAUCUGUGGGGUAAGGAAGACAGAUGCAGAGCCCCAGACAGGCACAUGCAGGUCUCACGGCAAACUGGUCUGUGCAUGCAGGGAAGAGCAGAGAUCCCGUGACUGGGGUCCUGAGCUGAUCUGGGGUUGGGAGGGAGGUGGGUGGAAGGAGGCAGGAUCUGAACCAAAAGCUGCAGGGUAAACAGGAAUUGGCCACAAAGAAUGGGGUGGGGAAGGUGGGGCCAGAUGUGUCGGAGCAUGGGCCAAGGCCCCAGUCUGGAAAGGACCCACCUCUGAUGGCUGGUUAGUCAGCGGGCACAGGCCUGCAGGCAUGGAGAUGAAUUUGCAGAGGGAAGCUGCGUGACCACAGUGUUGGAAAAUGGAAUCAGGCUACACGUGCUCUUGUGGGAAUCCCACGGCAGCGUCCCCAUGAGGAGGCAGGGGCCCACCAUCACCGGCUGCACCUCUGACCUUCGAUGACCUUGGGGGCCAGGUGUCACGGUCACCCUGCACACGUGGGUUCCCUCAGCUGCUCUCAGGAACAAGAGAAUGAACCUGUCACCUCCUCUCCCGCUUGAAGGACAGCACCAUUUAUUGUUUACUGUGGGCUGAGACAGCUGGGGAUUCCUCACUGCGAUGGAGCCGACAUGCAAUAUUGAGGCAAAGAUGGCAGGGAGGUGGGGGGCAGCGCAGAGGAGAAGAGGAGAGAGCCCUCCCACAGCAGGCCUCCCUCUGGGCAGGCUGAGCUUUGCCACUAGCAAGCCCCGCCGGUGCCGGGGAAGGGGAGAAGACACAGGACCUGGAGGGAGGCCUUGGUGAAUUGAGCCUUGGCUUUGCUGGGUGACCCAGGCUUGGUCCCUGGAUGCCUCUGAGCUGUUGCUGGAACGUGACCUCCCACCUCCCACGAUAGAAGAAAAGUGGUCUGGACAAAGGAGGCUGCAAUGGACUGAAUGUUGUAUUCCUCCCCAGUUCACAGGCUGAACCCCUAAUCCCAAGGUGAUGGGAUUUGGAGGCAGGACCUUUGGGAGGAAUUAGGUCAUGAGGGUGGAGCCCUUGUGAUGAGAUUAGUGCCCUGGUAAGAAGAGGCCAGAGAGCUGGCUAGCUCUUUUUCUGCCACGUGAAGAUAACGAGAAGGCAGCCACCUGUAAACUAGGAAGACAGCCCUCACCAGAACCUGACCUUGCUGGAACCUUGAUGUUGGACUUUCAAACCCCAGAGCUAUGAGAAAU
rnacentral:lncRNA from 1 species